GACGAACGCUGGCGGCGUGCUUAACACAUGCAAGUCGAACGGAAAGGCCCUGCUUGCAGGGUGCUCGAGUGGCGAACGGGUGAGUAACACGUGGGUGAUCUGCCCCUUACUUUGGGAUAAGCCUGGGAAACUGGGUCUAAUACUGGAUAGGACCAUGCUGUAGGUGGUGUGGUGGAAAGAUUAGUUUCGGUAAGGGAUGAGCUCGCGGCCUAUCAGCUUGUUGGUGGGGUAAUGGCCUACCAAGGCGUCGACGGGUAGCCGGCCUGAGAGGGUGGACGGCCACAUUGGGACUGAGAUACGGCCCAGACUCCUACGGGAGGCAGCAGAGGGGAAUAUUGCACAAUGGGCGCAAGCCUGAUGCAGCGACGCCGCGUGGGGGAUGACGGCCUUCGGGCUGUAAACUCCUUUCAGCCAUGACGAAGCCCUUGUGGUGACGGUAGUGGUAGAAGAAGCACCGGCUAACUACGUG
rnacentral:rRNA from 1 species